rnacentral:rRNA from 1 species
CCUGUAGGGCGAGACCUAGGCAAAUCCGGGUCUCACACAGCCUGAGAGGUGAUGCAUAGCCGAAUGAGGCGAAUUCAGUGAUCCUAUGCUGCCGAGAAAAGCCUCUAGCGAGCUGGUACACGGCCCGUACCCCAAACCGACACAGGUGAUCAGGUAGAGAAUACCAAGGCGAUCGAGAUAACUAUGGUUAAGGAACUCGGCAAAAUGCCCCCGUAACUUCGGGAGAAGGGGGACCCCUGCUGGUGAUGGCUCUUGCUUUGUGAGCUGGUGUGGGUCGCAGAGACCAGUGAGAAGCGACUGUUUACUAAAAACACAGGUCCGUGCGAAGUCGUAAGACGAUGUAUACGGACUGACGCCUGCCCGGUGCUGGAAGGUUAAGAGGACCGGUUAGUUCCUUCGGGAGCGAAGCUGAGAAUUUAAGCCCCAGUAAACGGCGGUGGUAACUAUAACCAUCCUAAGGUAGCGAAAUUCCUUGUCGGGUAAGUUCCGACCUGCACGAAUGGCGUAACGACUUCUCAGCUGUCUCAACCAUAGACUCGGCGAAAUUGCAUUACGAGUAAAGAUGCUCGUUACGCGCGGCAGGACGAAAAGACCCCGGGACCUUCACUACAGCUUGGUAUUGGUGUUCGGUUCGGUUUGUGUAGGAUAGGUGGGAGACUGUGAAGCAUGCACGCCAGUGUGUGUGGAGUCGUUGUUGAAAUACCACUCUGAUCGUAUUGGAUACCUCAACCUCGGACCAUGAUCUGGUUCAGGGACAGUGCCUGGUGGGUAGUUUAACUGGGGCGGUUGCCUCCCAAAAUGUAACGGAGGCGCCCAAAGGUUCCCUCAGCCUGGUUGGCAAUCAGGUGUCGAGUGCAAGUGCACAAGGGAGCUUGACUGUGAGACUGACAAGUCGAGCAGGGACGAAAGUCGGGACUAGUGAUCCGGCACCGGCAAGUGGAAGCGGUGUCGCUCAACGGAUAAAAGGUACCCCGGGGAUAACAGGCUGAUCUUCCCCAAGAGUCCAUAUCGACGGGAUGGUUUGGCACCUCGAUGUCGGCUCGUCGCAUCCUGGGGCUGGAGUAGGUCCCAAGGGUUGGGCUGUUCGCCCAUUAAAGCGGCACGCGAGCUGGGUUUAGAACGUCGUGAGACAGUUCGGUCUCUAUCCGCCGCGCGCGUCAGAAACUUGAGGAAGGCUGUCCCUAGUACGAGAGGACCGGGACGGACGAACCUCUGGUGUGCCAGUUGUUCCACCAGGAGCACCGCUGGUUAGCUACGUUCGGAAGGGAUAACCGCUGAAAGCAUCUAAGCGGGAAGCCUGUUCCAAGAUGAGGUUUCUCACCCCCUCGAGGGGGUAAGGCCCCCGGCAGACCACCGGGUUGAUAGGCCAGAACUGGAAGCCCAGCAAUGGGUGCAGGUGACUGGUACUAAUAGGCCGAGGACUUACCACA